rnacentral:lncRNA from 1 species
CUUGUACAGAACUGUGUUUCAGAGUUGAUACAAUAAGGUUGGGUGAGUUACCUGUACGAGAGAGAGAGAGAAAAAAAAAAGCUGACGACCACUCAGAAUGCUGGAGGAAAUCUGUCGCCAUCUGUCAUUCCGUUGAAACCCGACGUCAGCAUCCCUCAUCAGACGGCGGAGAUGAUUGAGGAUUUUUUUCUCCGAAGUCCUGCUUGCAAGAUGGCUGCCGCUGGUGUCCUCCUGUCUCUUAUUUUCCUCUUCUCUGACAUCGCAGUCGCCCAAGCACAAGGUAGACAAUGGUGCUACGUGUGUCACACGACUCCGUUCUCCAACGACUGUAUGUCCAAUCCCGGCUCUUUGCACGACUCCAGACUGGAAGUGGAGAGCAUAAUAGAUAUGGGGACAACAGCACGGACCCUAAAACUGUCAGCAACGUCGGCUUCUGUCCCCCCUCCCUGCCCUACUGCACCAUCGAGGAAAUCGUCGUUGAUAAUAUGUCAAGCUCUUUUACAGAGACUGUUCUGACGGCGAAAGAUUUUCUGUUGCCAUCAACGGCAGCAGACUAGAUGACCCCCAGCCUGACAACAUCACCCACUGUGCCUUCAUACUGCAGUUCAUGGGUCAAGUGUGCAUCACCCUCUGUAGCGGACACUUCUGUAACGGACCAAACAACGCCGGCACCACCUUGGGUACACACUGGUCUCCCACAUGUCUUCUCUUGUUGUCCUCGCGAAGUAUGCGCUUUGAAGACAAGCAGCCAAGGACAAUUAUAAUGGGAUCUUUAACAAAAGUACUGAAGUCACAUAGAGGGUUUAGAUGGAUACAACAUGGAUAUAUCAUGUUUAGAAACAAGGGUACACCCGGAUCUUGGACAUGAACAACACUUUAUUUAUUGACGGGAGAGAGGAACCCUGCAAUGGUUGAAAGCUCUUUCACGAAUAUCACAAAAGACUUGCCGAUCUUGCAUAGCAAAAGUUUUCAGGUUUUCCAGAACCUUCAGAGAUGAUGGACAAAAGGAGUAGUAAUCGAAAAAGGGUGUGUGUGUGUUAGAGUGAGAGAGAGAGAGAUAUUCAUAUACAUAAACAUACAUGUGGUAUCCUUAAUACGUAGUAUAUGUGUAGAUAUAGUGCUUCUGAUGUGAAUGUAUAAGUGGUGAGAUUUAAAUAUAUAAACAUACAUGUAGUGUGCACUUUUUCUAAUAUAAUACGUGUUAUAUAUUUAAAUAUAGUGCUUUGAUGUGGAUGUUUAAGUAUAUAUAUAUAUGUGUGUGUGUGCGCGCGCAAACGAUUGUUUUUGUAAUCGGCGUAUUUUGGAAUAAACUUUAGAAAAUUGUAAUAUACCAUAUAAACAUAUUGUCAUUUAUAUCAACUUAGCUGAAGUGACGCCGUUACUUUCUAUCUAUGACUAAAAGUAGGAUUACUCAUGAGUCGUUUAUUUUAUUUCACGUCGAACAAAUUUGUUAUAGUGAAUCCCAAAAUGGUGUGUAACUGAGAAGUUUGUAUUUUUCAUUGAUUGUCAAAAGUCAUGUGUAAGCAGAAACAUUCAGGCCUGUUAGUUCUUAGAUAAGAACGUGCUAGAUAUGCGACUACUCUGAUUUUCAAUUUGACCCUAUCAAAUAAAUUAUACUUGCCACCUAUA